rnacentral:rRNA from 1 species
GACGAACGCUGGCGGCGUGCCUAAUACAUGCAAGUCGAACGCAGUGGGGACGGGUGAGUAACACGUGGGUAACCUCCCAUCAGAGGGGGAUAACACUUGGAAACAGGUGCUAAACCGAUACUGAUGGAUGGACCCGCGGUGCAUUAGCUAGUUGGUGAGGUAACGGCUCUCCAAGGCCACGAUGCAUAGCCGACCUGAGAGGGUGAUCGGCCACACUGGGACUGAGACACGGCCCAGACUCCUACGGGAGGCAGCAGUAGGGAAUCUUCGGCAAUGGACGGAAGUCUGACCGAGCAACGCCGCGUGAGUGAAGAAGGUUUUCGGAUCGUAAAGCUCUGUUGUAAGAGAAGCGGUAUCUUACCAGAAAGGGACGGCUAACUACGUGCCAGCAGCCGCGGUAAUUC